AUAUAUAUAGAGAGAGAGAGAGAGAGAGAGAGCUAGUCUGCAUUGCUAUCUAUAGUAUCGGAGCUCCGAUACUAUAGUCUCAUUUUCUAUUUUAGGGUGUUCAAAUCAACGAUCCACACCGUUAAAAUUAAUAUAGGAUAUUUAAAGUUUUUAGAAAUAAAAUUUUAUAUUUUUUCGACAUAGCUUACUUUAUGAUCAAACCAUUUCAAAAUUGUCAAUUUUCAAUGGCUACUAUAACGAGUUUGGAGUUUAACGAUAUAGAAGAAUCUAAAUUGCUUCAAAUUUUGAUAGAAAAUACUUUAAACUAUCUAGAUUAAGGUUUACAUUCUUGAUCUUGAAUUUAAAAGUUCUAUGUUCAAAUUUUAAAGAUUAUUCAAUUUUUACCGUCUAUUUUGACAUAAUUUAUUUACUAAGUAAACGAUGUCGAAAAAAAUUAAAAUUUUAUUUUUAAGAACUUUAUAUACCAUAGAUUAUAUUUAACAGUAUGGAUCGUUAAUUUGAACACCCUAAAAUCGAAAACAAGAUUAUAGUACCGGAGCUCCGGUACUGUAGAUAGUAUAGUUGCCUAUAUAUAUAUAUAUAUAUAUAAAAUUGAGUUAGAAUACUUUUAGAAGCACCAAUUCUUUGGUGCUUCUAAGUUUCUAACCCUUGGAUCUACUUCUUAAUUAUUAAUACCUCUUGGAUCAAACACUAUUCCACCUAUUACCAUCUAUCACCAUCAUCUCAAUCCUAUAUCUUUUCAUCCAAUAAUUAAAAACUCAAAAGCACCACUGCCUUGGUACUCUUGAGAGAAUUCUAGCUCAAC
rnacentral:lncRNA from 1 species